UACAGAGGUCUCAAGCGUUGUUCGGAUUCAUUGGGCGUAAAGGGCGCGUAGGCUGCGGGGCAAGUCGGGUGUGAAAUCUCAGAGCUCAACUCUGAAACUGCACUCGAUACUGCUUUGCUUGAGGACUGGAGAGGAGAUUGGAAUUCACGGUGUAGCAGUGAAAUGCGUAGAUAUCGGGAGGAACACCAGUGGCGAAGGCGGGCAUCUGGGCCAACACUGACGCUGAGGAGCGAAAGCCAGGGGAGCAAACGGG
rnacentral:rRNA from 1 species